rnacentral:rRNA from 1 species
GACAGCAGUAGCCGCGGGAAUACGAAGGGUGCAAGCGUUACUCGGAAUUACUGGGCGUAAAGCGUGCGUAGGUGGUGGUUUAAGUCCGUUGUGAAAGCCCUGGGCUCAACCUGGGAAUUGCAGUGGAUACUGGGUCACUAGAGUGUGGUAGAGGAUAGUGGAAUUUCCGGUGUAGCAGUGAAAUGCGUAGAGAUCGGAAGGAACAUCUGUGGCGAAGGCGACUAUCUGGGCCAACACUGACACUGAGGCACGAAAGCGUGGGGAGCAAACAGGAUUAGAUACCCGGGUAGUCCCUGUCUCUUAUAC